rnacentral:snRNA from 1 species
AUGCUCACUUCGGCAGCACAUAUACUACAAUUGGAAUAAUACAGAGAAGAUUAGCAUGGCCCCUGCUCAAGGAUGACAUGCAAAUGCAUGAAGCGUUCCAUAUUAAG